UGGGGAAUUUUUCGCAAUGGGGGAAACCCUGACGAAGCAACGCCGCGUGGAGGAUGAAGGCCUUCGGGUCGUAAACUCCUGUCGACCGGGACGAACGUAGAGAGGGCUAAUACCCAUUUCUAUCGACUGUACCGGUGGAGGAAGCCACGGCUAACUCUGUGCCAGCAGCCGCGGUAAUACAGAGGUGGCAAGCGUUGUUCGGAAUUACUGGGCGUAAAGGGCGCGUAGGCGGCCUUGUAAGUCCUGUGUGAAAUCCCCCGGCUCAACUGGGGAACUGCACAGGAGACUGCUUGGCUUGAGUUCGGGAGAGGGAAGCGGAAUUCCGGGUGUAGCGGUGAAAUGCGUAGAUAUCCGGAGGAACACCGGUGGCGAAGGCGGCUUCCUGGACCGACACUGACGCUGAGGCGCGAAAGCCAGGGGAGCAAACGG
rnacentral:rRNA from 1 species